rnacentral:misc_RNA from 1 species
AAGUCGUAACAAGGUUUCCGUAGGUGAACCUGCGGAAGGAUCAUUACCAAAUUAUCCUAUAAACUUACGUAUUGUGAACUGUUGAAUUUAUUUCAACCUUAGUUGUGUGUUGUGUGAAAUGUUAUAUUAUAGUAUAUGAAUUUUAUUAUUCAUAACUAUUUUAUACAUUUGUAUAUACACAUAUACACAUAACUAUGUGUUGAUGUGAAUUAUUAAACGUUGUUUAUUUAAAAAGUCAUUAUUUUAUAUAAAAAAAAAUUAAAAAAGACAACUUUUAGCAACGGAUCUCUUGGCUCUC